rnacentral:rRNA from 1 species
UACGUAGGGUGCAAGCGUUGUCCGGAAUUAUUGGGCGUAAAGAGCUCGUAGGCGGUUUGUCGCGUCUGCUGUGAAAACCCGAGGCUCAACCUCGGGCCUGCAGUGGGUACGGGCAGACUAGAGUGCGGUAGGGGGAGAUUGGAAUUCCUGGUGUAGCGGUGGAAUGCGCAGAUAUCAGGGAGGAACACCAAUGGCGAAGGCAGAAUCUCUGGGCCGUAACUGACGCUGAGGAGCGAAAGCAUGGGGAGCGAACAGG